CGCACCCAGAAAAUUCCACAUAAACUUUAUUGCCAGAGAUUAAGAAGAACUAUUGAAAAGAAUUGCACUCAUCUUGUGUUUCUGGAGUCUGAAGAUACUCUGCAUUCAGUCUGGUCUAAAACAAAACCUCUCUUGGAUAAAGAAAGAAAAUGAACGACAUGAUUUGCUAAAUCAGUAUGGCACAUUUGUUCAUGGUGGAUUUUGUCAAACUUCCCUAGAAUGGAUUUUGGAAAGGAGGGCCUGCAAGCAGACACUUUUAAGGAGGAAGACCAUCCAUCACAGCAGACUGUCAGUGAUCUGACAAGCAGGGUGCCAUCUUCCAGUAUAACUGAGAAGGUUGUAUCAUCUUCACACCCAGCUUGGGUUGACAAUAUGAGUCCAGCAAGAGCUUUCAUUUCAUUCAGAAGCCAGUGGUCUGAAGCAAGAGUAAUGUCUCGACAGAUAACCACAAACAAGGUUUUCAGCAUCCAAAGCAACUAUCUUAUUCAACCAACUCUGAUCUUUUUUUCUCAGAAGCUGAAUUCCAGUGUAAACCAGGCUGGAAUUCAUGAUGCAAGUGAUACCAUGGAAAUGUUCACUCCUCCUUUGCUCCCCACCUCAGAGAUGAGCCAUUGUGCUGCCACAUACAAAACCAUGGAGCAGGCUCCAGGGCAGCAGGACCAGCUGAUGAAGCAGAAGAUGGAGAAGCUGCAAAGGCUGGUGGCUGAACAGCAGAAAAUCAUCACACUUUACAACCCAGGCAAAUCCCACCAGCAAGUGGUAAUAGACAGAAGACUUCCGAAAAUUUUGUUGAAG
rnacentral:lncRNA from 1 species